AUUGAACGCUGGCGGCAUGCCUUACACAUGCAAGUCGAACGGCAGCACGGGGCAACCUGGUGGCGAGUGGCGAACGGGUGAGUAAUGCAUCGGAACGUACCUUUCAGUGGGGGAUAACGUAGCGAAAGUCACGCUAAUACCGCAUAUUCUGUGAGCAAGAAAGCAGGGGAUCGCAAGACCUUGCGCUGAUUGAGCGGCCGAUGUCAGAUUAGCUAGUUGGUGAGGUAAAGGCUCACCAAGGCGACGAUCUGUAGCGGGUCUGAGAGGAUGAUCCGCCACAGUGGAACGGAGACACGGUCCAGAGUCCUACGGGAGGCAGCAGUGGGGAAUUUUGGACAAUGGGGGCAACCCUGAUCCAGCCAUGCCGCGUGAGUGAAGAAGGCCUUCGGGUUGUAAAGCUCUUUCGGCCGGGAAGAAAUCGCACGGGCUAAUACCCUGUGUGGGUGACGGUACCGGAAUAAGAAGCACCGGCUAACUACGUGCCAGCCGCCGCGGUAAUAC
rnacentral:rRNA from 1 species